UUUGAUCAUGSUCAGAACGAACGCUGGCGGCAGGCCUAACACAUGCAAGUCGAGCGCACUUCGGGUGAGCGCGGACGGUUAGUAACGCGUGGGAACAUACCCUUUUCUACGGAAUAGCCUCGGGAAACUGAGAGUAAUACCGUAUACGCUUCGGGGGAAAGAUUUAUCGGUGAAGGAUUGGCCCGCGUUAGAUUAGAUAGUUGGUGGGGUAAUGGCCUACCAAGUCUACGAUCUAUAGCUGGUUUUAGAGGACGAUCAGCAACACUGGACUGAGACACGGCCCAGACUCUACGGGAGGCAGCAGUGGGGAAUCUUAGACAAUGGGCGAAAGCCUGAUCUAGCCAUGCCGCGUGAGUGAUGAAGGUCUUAGGAUCGUAAAGCUCUUUCGCCAGGGAUGAUAAUGACAGUACCUGGUAAAGAAACCCCGGCUAACUCCGUGCCAGCAGCCGCGGUAAUACGGAGGGGGUUAGCGUUGUUCGGAAUUACUGGGCGUAAAGCGUACGUAGGCGGAUCAGAAAGUUAGGGGUGAAAUCCCGAGGCUCAACCUCGGAACUGCCUCUAAAACUCCUGGUCUUGAGUUCGAGAGAGGUGAGUGGGAAUUCCAAGUGUAGAGGUGAAAUUCGUAGAUAUUUGGAGGAACACCAGUGGCGAAGGCGGCUNACUGGBUCGAUACUGAYGCUGAGGUACGAAAGUGUGGGGAGCAAMCAGGAUUAGAUAYCCUGGUAGUCCACACKGUAAACGAUGAAUKCCAGUCGUCGGGUAGUAUACUAUUCGGUGACACGWC
rnacentral:rRNA from 1 species